rnacentral:rRNA from 1 species
UAAACUUAGUGGCGGACGGGUGAGUAACGCGUGGGUAACCUGCCUUAUACCGGGGGAGUAACGUUUGGAAACGAACGCUAAUACCGCAUAAGCGCACGGGCUCGCAUGAGCCUGUGUGAAAAACUACCGGUGGUAUAAGAUGGACCCGCGUCUGAUUAGAUAGUUGGUGAGGUAACGGCCCACCAAGUCGACGAUCAGUAGCCGGCCUGAGAGGGUGAACGGCCACAUUGGGACUGAGACACGGCCCAAACUCCUACGGGAGGGCAGCAGUGGGGAAGUAUUGCACAAUGGGGGAAACCCGUGAUGCAGCGACGCCGCGUGAGUGAAGAAAGUAUUUCGGUAUGUAAAGCUCUAUCAGCAGGGAAGAAAAUGACGGUACCUGAGUAAGAAGCCCCGGCUAACUACGUGCCAGCCGCCGC